rnacentral:rRNA from 1 species
AUUGAACGCUGGCGGCAUGCUUUACACAUGCAAGUCGAACGGCAGCACGGGCUUCGGCCUGGUGGCGAGUGGCGAACGGGUGAGUAAUAUAUCGGAACGUACCCAGAAGUGGGGGAUAACGUAGCGAAAGUUACGCUAAUACCGCAUACGAUCUAUGGAUGAAAGCGGGGGACCGCAAGGCCUUGUGCUCCUGGAUCGGCCGAUAUCUGAUUAGCUAGUUGGUGAGGUAAAGGCUCACCAAGGCGACGAUCAGUAGCUGGUCUGAGAGGACGACCAGCCACACUGGAACUGAGACACGGUCCAGACUCCUACGGGAGGCAGCAGUGGGGAAUAUUGGACAAUGGGCGCAAGCCUGAUCCAGCAAUGCCGCGUGAGUGAAGAAGGCCUUCGGGUUGUAAAGCUCUUUUGUCAGGGAAGAAACGGUGGAGGCUAAUAUCCUUUGCUAUUGACGGUACCUGAAGAAUAAGCACCGGCUAACUACGUG